CUCAGAUUGGACAGAUAGUCCAGCUAGCUGUCUGGAUUUACCCUGCAGAGAUCUGAGGAUCUGAGGAGCUGAACCAGAGUCCUCAUAAAUCUGAACAAUCCCGGAAAUGAACGUUGUUGAUAUAGACUAUUUAUAGGCAAAAUUAAAAAUCAAUAACUAUUCGUAGCUUCAGGUCUCACCAGUUCUACUCGUCCAAAGCCGCCGACCCCGAGAGUAGCGACGGGCUCCAGGUGGUCGAAGGGCCUGGACGGAGGAAACACGGCCACCCGGUCCUUCAGCUGGAUGACGUCUGGCGAAAGCGGCUGGCUCUGGUGGCGCGAUACGGACCUCCUGGAUGAGGACAGCCGAGGGGCUUCAUUUUAACCAACCAAAGGCUUUCUCUCCAAAGUAGUCUCCCUUCUGCAGCGUGUUGAUGAUCUGCGGCAGCUUGUGGGCCUCGGUGGUCUGGGUCACCUUCACCUGCACAACGCAGUCAGAGCACAUUUCACUUCUUCACGCCCGUCUCCAGUUCACCGCUGUAGCUAUUACAGAGCUAUCUUUUGCCAUAAUAGCUGUCCAGUUCAAAUUCCAAUCAGAUCAGACUGGAGACCUGACAGAGAAUCCUAAAGAACAAGAAUGAGCCACUAGUGCAGCAACUAGGACCAGAACCCCUCAAUGGCUUAAUGGGACAUGAGACCUUUGUUACAUGAUGUUUGAUCAUGUCUGCCACAACCCAGAUUUGUUCCCUGCAGCCGUAAGUCUGUCCAUCAUCAACCAUCACGGACACACUGAACGACUGCUCAUCUGAAGAGUCGUUUCAGCCUGAUGCAUACAAAUAUUUCCUGUAUGUGUAAAUAAAUCUUU